ensembl:lncRNA
AACAGGUGCUAGUUAGCAACACUACAUUAGCCGCCAUUAGCAUAUUAGCUACCAAGCUAACACCGCUAGCUGCUAUCCUAUCAACAAUUCGGGUUUUAGCGGUUCACUACUGUCCUUGCUGCGGUGUGUAUUUACCUGUUUUAAAGAAAGCGCUGUAGUAGGUAACCUUGACAUCGUCAUCUCUGGCAGGUCGUGAAACAAGCCUGAAACGAGAGGCGGAAGUUGUGGUGCCACUGACAGCGUCUGAUUCAGUGUGUCUCCCCCCGGUGGACGGAGGACCGCAGCACAGGCGCCUCUAACGGCUGCAGAUACCUUCAGGUUCAGAGAGUGAAGGUAGCAGUUGCUCCUGAAGGUCAGAGAUUGCAGCAUCUGAGGGCCUCUUCAAAAGAAGACGUAGUUGAUGAAGGCGUUCUGGAGCAGGACCAGAAAUACCACGACCAAGCAGCCUUGAGAUCUUAGGCAGCAUCUCCCUCGGACCAAAGAACUACAGACUCUUCACAACCUGCUCAAACUCUUGGUACAGGACCUCACCACACGGGUCAAGAAGGUUUCCUUCUCAUUUCUACUCUGAAGCUCACCUUCUCCUGCUCAAACUGCUGACAAAUGUUUCUGCUGCACUAAAGUCUGGUCUCCAGAACUUCCUAAA